rnacentral:misc_RNA from 1 species
UUGGCUAUUUAGGUCAUGAUCUACCACCACAUGGCAUUGUAAUUGCAGCAAUAGUGAUUUUUGCAGUUCUUGGUGUUCCACUGGCGAUCACUUAUAGUGUGCCAUAUGCCUUGAUUUCCUCGCGGAUUGAACCUUUGGGACUUGGUCAAGGCUUAUCAAUGGGUGUUUUAAAUUUGGCAAUUGUGAUCCCUCAGGUGAUUGUCUCCCUCGGAAGUGGACCAUGGGAUCAGCUAUUUGGCGGUGGAAACUCACCAGCCUUUGCAAUUGGAGGUCUGGCAGCCUUUGCUGGUGGACUCGUAGCCAUUUUGGGUAUUCCUCGAUCUGGUGCUCAGAAGCCCAUGGCCCUCCCAUGAGUGGAAGACUCGAUAGCAAUUUCAUCCGAUUGGAUGCCAGCAUUAAAUUUGACCUGACUCUGAGGAGGAGGUGCUUUCAUAUGCAAAAUGCAAGCCUGGGUUUCUAGAAAUGUGAAAUUUCAUGGAAGUUUUUGGAGGUUUGGGAACUCAUUAAUAAUCCAGAGAGGCCAACUGCAUAGUCAUCUCUAGUUAAAAAUAGUACAAAGGAUCCAGGUUCAAGGUAUAGGCUUGUGCUUCCAAUACACACUACAUAUUAGGAGAGGUAGAAAACAAACUUUAUGUAAACACUGUUACACAAUGACAACUAUUGUGAGACAAGUAUCAUAGCUGUCAGUGGAUGAUGAGUGAGAAUUUAUUUGAGUGAAGAAUUUCCUCCAAUUAAAAUAAGCCUGCUUGCUGCGAUGGAAAAGUGAAGCCCAGGAUUCCUUCCCGAGACUACUUCCUUACCAACAAGAUAAGUGGCUGCUGAUUGGGAUUUAUUCCUCGUGUGAAAAAACUUUGAAUGAAAAAAUAAAUAAAUAAAGGAAAUAUCUGAUAGCACGUUGGUGGUCCAGGCAUGAUGCAUUGGAAUCUUGUGCAAUUUUUGUGCCUGAAUUUGCUGUAUGAAUGGGGUGAACUGUGCUUGGUGGCCAUGAGUCAAUAUGUGAGUUGUGCCGAUGCAAACCUUGAUGGAGACAUGUCCUUUAUGCUUUGUUUUUUCAAAGAGGUUGAUUGAUUUUUAUGGAAGGUCUCCUU